AGAGUUUGAUCCUGGCUCAGAUUGAACGCUGGCGGUAUGCUUAACACAUGCAAGUCGAACGGAAACGAAACUAGCUUGCUAGUAGGCGUCGAGUGGCGGACGGGUGAGUAACGCGUAGGAAUCUGCCUGAUAGUGGGGGAUAGCCCGAAGAAAUUCGGAUUAAUACCGCAUAAUCUAUUCGUAGUAAAGUGGGGGACUUUCGAGCCUCACGCUAUCAGAUGAGCCUGCGUAAGAUUAGCUUGUUGGUAGGGUAAAAGCCUACCAAGGCAACGAUCUUUAGCUGGUCUGAGAGGAUGAUCAGCCACAUCGGGACUGAGACACGGCCCGAACUCCUACGGGAGGCAGCAGUGGGGAAUAUUGGACAAUGGGGGCAACCCUGAUCCAGCAAUACCGCGUGUGUGAAGAAGGCCUGAGGGUUGUAAAGCACUUUCAAUUGUGAAGAAAAGUUAACGGUUAAUAACCGUUGACCUUGACGUUAACUUUAGAAGAAGCACCGGCUAACUCCGUGCCAGCAGCCGCGGUAAUACGGAGGGUGCAAGCGUUAAUCGGAAUUACUGGGCGUAAAGCGUGCGUAGGCGGUUUAUUAAGUCAGAUGUGAAAGCCCCGGGCUUAACCUGGGAACUGCAUUUGAAACUGGUCAACUAGAGUAUGGUAGAGGAAAGUGGAAUUUCUGGUGUAGCGGUGAAAUGCGUAGAUAUCAGAAGGAACAUCAAUGGCGAAGGCAGCUUUCUGGACCAAUACUGACGCUGAGGUACGAAAGCGUGGGUAGCAAACAGGAUUAGAUACCCUGGUAGUCCACGCCGUAAACGAUGAUAACUAGCCGUUGGGGGGAUUUACCCCUUAGUGGCGAAGCUAACGCGUUAAGUUAUCCGCCUGGGGAGUACGGCCGCAAGGCUAAAACUCAAAGGAAUUGACGGGGACCCGCACAAGCGGUGGAGCAUGUGGUUUAAUUCGAUGCAACGCGAAGAACCUUACCUGGUCUUGACAUCCUGCGAACUUUCUAGAAAUAGAUUGGUGCCUUCGGGAACGCAGUGACAGGUGCUGCAUGGCUGUCGUCAGCUCGUGUCGUGAGAUGUUGGGUUAAGUCCCGUAACGAGCGCAACCCCUAUCCUUAUUUGCCAGUACAUUAUGGUGGGAACUAUAAGGAGACUGCCGGUGAUAAACCGGAGGAAGGCGGGGACGACGUCAAGUCAUCAUGGCCCUUACGACCAGGGCUACACACGUGCUACAAUGGGAAGGACAAAGAGCCGCGAAGCCGCGAGGUGUAGCUAAUCUCAUAAAUCUUUUCGUAGUCCGGAUUGGAGUCUGCAACUCGACUCCAUGAAGUCGGAAUCGCUAGUAAUCGUAGAUCAGAAUGCUACGGUGAAUACGUUCCCGGGUCUUGUACACACCGCCCGUCAUACCAUGGGAGUGGGUUGCACCAGAAGUGGCUAGUCUAACUUUGUGAGGACGGUCACCACGGUGUGAUUCAUGACUGGGGUAAAGUCGUAACAAGGUAACC
rnacentral:rRNA from 1 species